GUCUUCCUCGAUUUCUUUCAUAAGUGUUCUGUAGUUUUUGGAGUAUACUUCCUUAACCUCUUUGAUUAGGUUUAUUCCAAGGUAUCUUAUGGUUUGGGUUACAUCAAUUUUGUUCUUUUAAAACUGUAUGUAAACUAUAAAUUUAACAUUGCUGAAUAUGAAAGUAUUUGAAAUUAUUUGGCUAUACUAUUCACGGCUUUGGGGAUUAAUAGAUAUACUUGUGCAAAUCAUUAUUUUUCAAAGUAUGAUGUAUUGAAAAGAAUAUUUAGGCUUUAGAGAUACAGAAGAGGAUUUGAAUACCAGCUCUUAAUACAUUGUUGUGAACCACAUUUUUAGUUUACUUUAAGAAAGCGAUUAUUUUUUCCCUUAGGGUUGUUGGGGGGAUUAAAUGAGAUGGAAUAUAAAACAUCGAGCAUAAUAUCUGAUACCUCUGCAGAGUCUGUACAGUGUUGGUCUUUUUUUUCUCUCUCUCCCAUUUUUAUUAUUAUUCUUAUUAAAAGAAUAUGUACUAUCAUGUUUUAAAGGUAUCUCAUAGUCCAGAAGGCUGCUAAAUAUUUUCAACGCAUAUAUAUCACAUAAUCCUCGCAACCCAAAAAGUAUACAUUAUGAUUGUAAUUUUGCAGAUAAUGAAAGAGACUUAAGAGGUGAAAUAUCUUGCUCAAAGUUCAAUCAGCUACUAAAUAGCAGAAUCUGUAUUUUAACCUAGGAGAAUCUGACUUUUUAAAAAAAUUUAUUUGUUUUCUUUUUUCAUGAGAGACACAGAGAGGCAGAGACACAGGCAGAGGGAGGGGCAGGCUCCUUGCAGGGAAGCCUAUGUGGGACUCGAUCCCAGGACCCCAGGAUCAUGACCUGAGCCAAAGGCAGAUGCUCAACCACUGAGCCACCCAGGUGUCCCUGACUUUUUAAUCUGAUUCUGGAAACUAGAAAGUUUGAUUCCUAAGGCAUUCUCUGCGCACCAUGCAAGUGAGUAAGUUUAGAGGAUCUAAGACAGUUUGGGAGGGAAGAUUGUGUUAGAUACUGUGAGAGCCAACCAAUUGCCAGUUGCUUUUAGGAACUAAUUGUUUAAACCUAUAGAGGGGUAGGGCUACUAGGUUGAAAGGAAUUCACUAUAUCUGAAUUCCGCAGAUACAGUAAAAUGAGACGAAAGAGAUGAUGCCCACUGCUGUUCAUAGGGAGUUCUGGGAGCUUCUCAGAAAAACAAUAAGCUUAUAAUUCUAGAAAUGUAAUCUCCAAGAAAACUUUUGCAUUAACUUGUAGAUUAUUUCUAAAUUUGUAUCUCUUGCAAAUGUGUUCAUGCUCAUAUUGGUUGAUAUCUGCUGUAGGACAUGGUAAACCAUCUCCCUUUUUCAGAGCACUGCAAAAAGGUCAUUCAGAAAGCAAAUAGCCCAUCUUAAUGUUUUAAGCAUUUGUCUGCAUCAUCCCCUCUGCCAGACGCCCUGUCCAUUUCUUUGUAUCUGUGAACUUCUCAUCUUUAAAAUCCAGUCUGAAUAUAUCAUCUUUCUGGAAGAUUUCUUUGGCUUGUUUACAUCCCUAACCCCAUCAUAUGCUCUGAGACCUCUAUAGUUUGUAUACCUUUCUUUUGUAUUCCUUUCCACAAGUCUUUUUUGUGCUAGCAUAUAAUAGAUGUUCAGUAAAUGUUUGCUGAAUGUUGAUUAUACAGUGAAAUCCCUGAAAAUAGCAAUACCAGGCAUUGUGCUUGGCUCAGACUAUAUGCUUAGGAAUUGCGUUUAAAUAAACAAAUGAAUGCUGAUUGUGAUAGGCCCUGGAAAAUACCACUCUCUCCAGUUUAUUGUAGAUCGAAGGCUUUGUAAACAGAAUUAGAGUUGCCAUUUUAAAAGGUUAUUUAAGGGAGAUAGGGAAUAGAAUGGCAGUGACCAGAGGGCAAAUGGGGAGAUGCUGGUGAGGGGUACAAGUUUCAGUUAUCCAAGAUAAAGAAGUUCUGGAGCUCACAUGUACUAGUUAAGAAUAUUGCAUUGUAUAGUUGAAAUUUGCUAAGAGGAUAGAUUUUAAGUGUUAACAUCAUAAAAAAAAAAGAUGAAAGAAAAAAAUGAUAACUAUGUGGGGUGAGGAAUAUGUUAAUUAGCUUCAUUCUAGUGGAUAUUUAUGUAUAUUUUGUAUAUACAAAAUCAUCAAAUUAUAAACCUUAAAUAUAUAUAAUUUUUAAUUGUCAGUUAUACCCCAAUAAAACUGAAAAACAAUCUUUGAAAGAGAUGAAAAGUGCAAUAUGUCCCAGGAUUAAUAAAGCAGCACAAACUUGUAAAAAGCUCCAAGUUGGGUAUAAGCUGAGCUGACAACAAAUGUCAUAUCAUCAGAAACAAUAACAAAGUAUCUCUUUAUAUUAUGUAUAGGAGGAGACCCAGCACCACUCUGGUAAGGGGUUAAAUGGAAAGCAAAAAUCUGUGAUCCUUGGAUUACUGCAUCUUUCACUUUAAGAAUUGUCUUCCAAGGGGAAAUAUAGGAAAAAGUAUAUCAUGUAGAAGGAAUUGAAACUCAAGUUGUCCAAGUGAGCUUGUCAGUCUCAGGUUUGCAAAGAUGGCCUGAUAACUUUACUAAUAUAUCCAGUGGGUCUCUUUAAAGGAGUUCAAACUUCCAGACCCAUAUGCUAGAAGUAAUUAAAAUAGAGGAAAACAUGAGUAUAUUGCUAUUUCCUAAGAGAACAAAAUGGGCAGGUUUUAUAGAUGGCAAGUCUGUAGACUUAUUAUCAAAUUUUAAAGGGAUAAAAAAAAAAACAAGAAAAAAAUUUUAAAUAGAUUAUUUUUAAACACUUAGCAAAGAAUAUGGGGAUGCUUAAGAGUCAGAAUGACGUCACUAAAAAUAAGGAAUAUCAAACUAACAAUUAUUUUUUGGUGGGACCACUAGAUUAUGGUAAGAGAAUAUUAAUAAUAUGACUUUUAUUAAGUUAACAGCUAUAUGCCAGACACUGUGCUCAGCAUAAUACAUUUUGAUUUUCAUUAAGGCAGUGACAAAAUCGUGUAGGAUACCUUUGUGUGAGAUAGAGAAACAGGGAUUAAAUUAUAGGCAGAUUUAAAACUAGUUGAAAAAAUUGAUCUAAAGAAACUUUAUAGUCUGGAGUGAAAUGUUCUUUUGCUAUUCCCAUUGUCAUGUUGCAUCAGUGUUAGAAGUAAGGUACACAGAGCAGGGAAUCAUAACUAAUGGGAUAAAAUGAAAGAAUCAAUAUUUCCUAGCUAUUCAGCGUGAAACUAGUAAGAAAUCAGUAUUUAUACAGAUCGAUAUAAAAAAGCUCUGAAGAGUUUAAAAAAGUUAUCUUUUUAAUUAAUAGACUUUGAUUUGGGGAAGAGUUUCAAGUUUGUGGAAAAAUUAUCAGAAUGCGCAGAGAGUUCUAUGUACCCACCUCACUGCCCCCGCCAAUCCACCCAAUUUCUGCUUUUAAUAACAUCUUGCAUUAGUGUGGUACAUUUGUUACAAUUGAUGAACUGAUAUUGUUACAUUAUUAUUAACAAAAUCCCUGGUUUACAUUAGGGCUGACUCUUUAUGUUGUAUAGUUCUGUGGGUUUUGAUAAAUGCAUAAUGUCAUGUAUCCACCAUUACAGUAUCAUACAGAUUUAUUUCACUGCUCUAAAAAACCCCUUGGUCCCUUCUCCCUAGCAACCACUGAUCUCUUCACUGUCUCUAUAGUUUUGCCUUUUCUAGAAUGUCAUUAUAGCUGGGAGUCAUACACUAUGUAGCCUUUCCAGGCUGGCUUCUUUCAUUUAUUGGUAUGCAUUUACAGUUUCUUUUGUCUUUUUGUGGCUUGAUAAUUGAUUUCUUUUUAUUUUUGAAUAAUGUUCAAUUCUAGUUUUUGGCAAUUACAAAUGCAGCUGCUAUAAACACUCGUGUGCAGGUUUUUGUGUAGACAUAAGUUUUCAACUCAUUUGGAUAAAUACUUAGGAGAAUGAUUGCUGGAUUGAAUAAUAGCACUAUGUUUAGUUUUGUAUGUCACUGUUUUCCGAAGUGUCUGUACAAUUUUGCAGCUCUACCAGCCAUGAAUGAGUUGCUGCUACUCCACAUCCUUACCAGCAGUAGAUGUUGUCAUUAUUCUGAUUUUGACCAUUGUAAUAGGUGUAUAGUAGCACUGAGGUCAGGUAGGUUUUUAAAUUAGUUUCACUUGUGGAGAAAGGAGGUGACUUGCUUAAGAAAUGAUUCAAAUAGAAUAUAUAUAUGUAUGUAUGUAUAUACAUAUAUAUAUGUAUGCAGAUUCUGUGGAUCCUAAAGUGAAUAUGUAGGGAGAGCUUUAUUCACAUGCUAAGAACAAAUGAAAACAAAUACCUUGAGAUAUGUUAAUUGUGCCAGUUGCCUGUUGAUGUGAAAUAAUAGUCACAUUAUGCCCCAUUGGUCAGGGCACAUAUGGGGUGUGGUGAACAGGUCACUUGGAGGUACAUGGUACAUUAACAGCUUGGACAUGUUCAUCCAGGAUGCAGUAUGUUGCCAGUCAAAAAUUGGUGAAAAAGAAGAGUAGAAGAAGCAAAAAAGGAUUGCAUUUUUGUGAAUUUCCAGAUUUAAAAAAAAAAAAAAGCCUCCCUAUUCUCAAAUACAAAAUGGGGAUAAUUUUACUAGUCCCCAAAGAUUUUUUUUUGGCAGAUAAUGUAGGACAGUAUCUAUAAGGGGCUUAGCAUAUUGCCUGACACAUGAUAAGUGUUAAUCGCUGCAUUGGAUACCCAAUGCAGAUCCAGAGGUCAGGAGAGAGAUCUUGGCUGGGAAGCAUGUGAGCGACGCUUGAAGAGAAGUAGUAUUUGGGUCAGUUGACUAGCUCACCAGGGACACAUACAGAGCAAAAGAGAAGAGGACCAAGACAGUGUCUGAAAAGAACAGGAGGAAGAGUAACAAGCCAAGGGCAUUAUUGCAAGAAAGAAAUGAACAGAUACAGAGCUUUUGUGGUUCUUGGCUUCAGGUAUAUAUCUGAAGCCAAGAGCCCAGGCAAACAGUGAUUUCUUUGUACAGAUCGGCUUCAAAAGCUUUUUCUCCUUUUAUUGCUGAAGAAAGAGUCCUCCAUUAAAAAUAAUCGAUCAUUAGUAAUAUUGUAAGGCAUUAGUGCAGUCUUUCAGCUUCUCCAUCUGUGUAUUUGCAUUGCUCCUGGCACUCCAGUACCUGAGAGCUUAUCUGCUGGGCUUGUAAGAACAGGUUUACAUGUGUUCAUUAUGCAAAGAAGAUCUCGCAAAUUUAGGUCUAGAUGUGGCAGGUCAGGAGAACUGUGACAUUGUAAGGUUACCCAUUCAAACCUAAAGUAACACCUUAGAGAAUAUCAAGAACAGAGGAAAGAGGUUAUAAGCCAGCUUACAGUAAGCAUGACAUUUUUAUUUUAUAAGAACAAAUAAUAAUUUUCAAAAUUAUUUAUUUAGUGUUCAUAUUAAAAACAAAUGAUUUUUUGAAAGAAACCCAGUCAGAUAUUGAUAUGCAGUGGAUUGAAAUGACCUUAUUUUCAAAAAUUUAAAAAUAUGCUAAUAAACAGCAACAAACUUUUUGUUUGAAUGUUCACAUUGGUUUUAUAUUAUUUGAGGGUAAAUCUUCAGUAAUUUUAGUAUUGAUUAAUAAAUCACUUUCAAAUUACUAGACACUUUAUACUGUUUUUCUGGUACCUAGUACUCUGACACAUGAUGUGUUUAACUAAAUUUUUCUCCAUGUUUCUUAAAGGGAUGGUUGCUUUCCUUGUUCUGCAUACAGCUUAAGUCUUCAAUGAAAGAUUAGAUCUCCCUUAUCAAAAUUAAUCAGACACUAUUGAUUUGGUAGUUUCCCCCCCACAAAAAAAUGCAUUUUUGUAGUUUGACACUGUGGGUUUCAUAGUUUCUACUUAUUUUAAGGAAUAUUCAAAAUUAGUACACAGGUACUGUACUGCUUUAAUCCCAGAGAUAAACAAAAAAAUUUAUAAGCAUAAUUUUAAUACUACUAAUGAUAUCUAUAUUCAUACUGUGUUCUACGGUGUUCAAAACUCUAAAAUGUGUGCGACUCUUACUAUACAAGUCAGGGCUAUUAUCCUCAAAAUCAGAGAGACAGUGCCACUUCCUGGUUUCAGAUGUGGGCAUUGGAAUCAUAGAACUGGAUUUACAUUAUGAUUCUUCAACUUAGUUUGUGAGCAACGGGCUUGUGUUGUGUUGAGCAUUAUCCGUCUAAGUCUCAGUUGUUUCUCAUAGAGCUGCUGUUAAGGAGUAAAAAAGACCCUGUGCAUUAUUCUGCAAUCAGCACAGUGCUUGGCACAGACUGAUACUAAACAAUAUUGGUUUUCAUGAUCGUCCUCAACAACAUCAACAGGUUACACAGAUACUGUUACAUCAGUAACCCUAAAUAUUAGACCAGAUCUAGAACCUUAGAAAUGAAGCAAAACUCUUAACAUCCUGUGAUAGAUGUAACUCUGCAUUAAUUAUGCAAAAUAUAUUUUAAUAUUUUUUGAAGUAAUCUCUGUGUUCAAAAUGGUGCUCAAACUCAUGAUCCCGAGAUCAAGAGUUGCAUGUUCUACCAACUAAGCUAGGCAGGCACUCCCAAAAUAUUUUUAAACUCCCUAUAUUUUCCAACCACAUAUCCUAAGGAUAUAUUCAUUGGUCUAAUAACAGUGCUCUCCAGCAAAAGGCCAAAUAAUGUGGGGAAAUUCUGCAACACAUCCCCCUCUUGAUGAUUCACAAUGUGCAUUCGUGUAUCAGAAGCCCUGAUUCAGGAAAGAAACUUUACCAUCAGCAUCACCAAAAGUACUCCACUCACACAGCACAUAUUCUAUGCCAGAUUGUUCUGAGCUUUUUCCACAGAAAUUCAUGUAAUCCUCACAACAAGCCUAUAAGGCCAGAUACGAUUUUCAUCCCCAUUUUACUGAAGAUUAGAAUCCAUAGAGUCAGGAUAGGAGCUGCUAUCCUAACACUCCACAUAUUACCUCUGUCAUCCUCACAUGACUCUUUGGGAUUAAGAAGUUCCAUGUCCAAGGUCCAUGUUUGGAAACUGCUAACUCCUUUGGAAAUUGACACUGCAUUCCUUUAAUACACUUUAAUACACUUGUUUGAGUCAGCUCUAAAACGAUUCUCUUUUUAUUUUUCCUUUGCAUUCUAAACAUUAAAAGGAACCCUUCAUUCUGAUGCAAUAUUAGAAAUGUAUGUUCUUUAGGCCAGUAAACUCCUUAGAUUUCUGAAGAUUAUGACCAGUGCAUGUAGAUUCUUGUAUAAAUGACCUUGGUGUCAACACUUUGCUACUACUACUCACCACCGAAAUAAUUACUCUCUGUCUUUUGCUUACUUGUCAUACUCUGUCACUAUGUGAAAAUCCUAUUACUAUUAAUCAAAGUACAACAAUCAGAGCAUGAAGCUCCUGGCCCCUACUCAUCUCACUGUUGCCUAUGCCAGACCAGGUGGUGAAUGGAUGAAUGAAUGAAUGAAUGAAUGAGUGGAUGGAUGGAUGAAUGGCCACUCAGGGCAGAAAACACAGUAGAUGACCUUAGUUCUAGUCCCAGCUGCAUCACUAAUCACUUUGCCACCUCAUGGAAAUUACUCCCCUUUCAACUCUACUUGCCAUCUGUGCCAGCAAAAGUGAUCAAAAGUGCAAGAAAAAAAAAGGAAGUGGAGAAAAUGAGAAA